UUCAAAAUAAAAUAGGAAUAAGUGCAAAUGUAAGUGAGUCACUUAAUUAGGAAGCAGGUGGGAAUCCUGCACUGUCCCGCAACUGUAUUAGAAGAGUACAAGUAAUUAUGCCACUGGGAAACUGGGAAGGCUACUUUGUAUGAUGAGGCUUAAGUCAGGAUAUUAAUAUUUUGCAUUUUAUAUUC
rnacentral:ncRNA from 2 species